AACUCAACAGCUAGCUUAAAUAACUUAA
rnacentral:rRNA from 1 species